AGUGUGUCCCCAGGAAAGUGCCAGAGCCUUUACCAGGACCUUUCCAUGAAAAAGGAAACAGCGUAGUGAAUGGAAAUAGAGAAGGGCCUCCUGCAAAACAGGCUCCCUUGAAGCCUACAACUAAAGUAGAGGAUUCUGCUAUGAAUGAAGCAGUACAGAGAAAGAAUGUACAGAAGACAUCCAGAGCAGGUACAUUUUCAAUACAAAUGGAAUUCUGGAAAUAAGUACAUUAAAUGAUUACAAGUACUCACAUUCUUCUUACCCCUAAUU